rnacentral:rRNA from 1 species
AUUGAACGCUGGCGGCAGGCUUAACACAUGCAAGUCGAGCGAGCGGCGGAGGGGUGUGUAAUGUCUGGGAAACUGCCUGAUGGAGGGGGAUAACUAGGGGAAAGGGUAGCUAAUACCGCAUACCCACAGAUGUGCCCAGAUGGGAUUAGCUAGUAGGUGGGGUAAUGGCUCACCUAGGCGACGAUCCCUAGCUGGUCUGAGAGGAUGACCAGCCACACUGGAACUGAGACACGGUCCAGACUCCUACGGGAGGCAGCAGUGGGGAAUAUUGCACAAUGGGCGCAAGCCUGAUGCAGCCAUGCCGCGUGUGUGAAGAAGGCCUUCGGGUUGUAAAGCACUUUCAGCGAGGAGGCGUUACUCGCAGAAGAAGCACCGGCUAACUCCGUGCCAGCAGCCGCGGUAAUUC